AUCCAGCUGACGAGUCCCAAAUAGGGCGUAACGCGCGUCCUUGAU
rnacentral:hammerhead_ribozyme from 1 species